UACGUAGGGUGCAAGCGUUGUCCGGAAUUACUGGGCGUAAAGGGCGCGUAGGCGGCCUUCUAAGUCGAACGUGAAAUCCCCGGGCUCAACCCGGGAACUGCGUCCGAUACUGGGAGGCUUGAAUCCGGGAGAGGGAUGUGGAAUUCCAGGUGUAGCGGUGAAAUGCGUAGAUAUCUGGAGGAACACCGGUGGCGAAGGCGGCAUCCUGGACCGGUAUUGACGCUGAGGCGCGAAAGCCAGGGGAGCAAACGGG
rnacentral:rRNA from 1 species